CGCACAACCAACAGCGGUCGCGCACGUGCUCGGGCGGGUGUGUGCCUGCGUGCGCUUGAUCACGCUCUCUUUGCCCUGCUCAAAUCUCCUUCCUAGGCCAUUCUUCAUGGCGUCUCAUGGCGAGUCCGCAGUGCCGGCGCCUGGCCUGCAGCGGCGCGGCACCGUCAGCGGCGCUGGGGUAAGGACCAUCACGACAGCGGUGGGGCGCCUGCUGACUGACUACGCGGUGCAGCUGCGCGAAGACCUUGGAUCCACCGACGCCACCGGCGGCGUCUCCUUUAAGCCAGGCUGGGAGGCCGAGGAUGGUGACUUGGUCAAGGUAGAGGGCGAAGGCAGCGACUCCGCCGCAGGCAGCGCCGUUGAGACACGCCAUAGAACGAGCUCACGUCACGCAACCGAUGCGGAUGACGAGGCGGCGCCGCUGACAGAGGCUGACACGGCGGAGUGCCGCCAGCGCUUACAGCGACUGCAGCGCGUCAAGCAUCUUCUUGCUCAGUAUUCGGGACGUGCAGAGCGUCGUCGCGUGCACGCGGAGGCUGUGAAGACGUCUUUCCUCAGAUCAGGGAGCACAGCAGAGGCUGAUGACGAGGCGGACGGCGCCUGCCGUGUGAGCUGUGAGACGGUGCGCCAGAAUCCUGUACUCAUGCUAGCACUGCGUCGCUUCGAUCGAAUCGCACAGGGCUUCCAAGGUACAACGGCGCCGGCGGCAGUGGCGAAGGCUCAGGGUGGUGGCCUGCGCGAGGCAGGCACGGCCGCUUCAGUAUCGGGAACAAACAAGGUGAACUUCAUCCAGCCGUUUCUGAAUCCCGUGCCUCUCGCCGAAGGUGCCCUGAGCGCUUUUAGCCGCAAUGUGAACAUCGUGUUUCGUCGUCGCCCGACCGCCGGUGGCCCUCCCGCUACCGGCAAGCGGCCACGCGACGAGGCCGUCGACUCCGCUGCAUCGUCCUGGGCGUCUACAGCGGUGGCACCAGAUGCGCACAACUACUGGGACCUGCUGGCCACACAGCAGCGCAGGCGUCGCUUCUCCCUUUACACUGCCCGCGCCGCGCUGCUGCCACGCGUGAACGCCGUGUGCGCGCCACUGUAUGUCUCCCUUGCUGUCCAGGAGCUCGCGCAGCUCAACUCGGAGGCGGAGCGCUUCAUGUUGAAGCGGGCUUGGUGUGUGCACACCAAGGCGCGCUUGCUGCGCGAGGUGCCGUGGGUGGCCCGCGAUGUUGCCGCGUACCGAGUCGCCUUGCGCGAGGCGCUGCCGGGCUUCACCGAGUCGCAGCAAGACGCCUUCCUUAUCGACGUUGUCUACGCCGAGUUUGUCUGCGCUGAGGGCGGCAUCGUGCGCGUGUGUGUGCAGCAUGCACUCUUCCUGGACCUCACCUAUGACGUGCGGCGCCAACAGUGGACGCUCGUCGCGCUCCACUGGAAUAUCUUCACCACCAGCGCCGGCGCGUCGCUCUUGACAUCGCAGUCAGCAUUGGCAGUGCCUCAUGCACAGACCCCGUCCGCCCCGCCGGCUGCGCCUGCCACAGCGGCUCUAGCCCCCUUGAUAGCUCACAGCUGUGCUCACGGCACUGACGACUCUGCCUCGCCAUUACCUGAAGCGCCCACGCCUGCGUCUUUUGUAAGAAUUGUUCCUCAGGAUCGCGAGGCACUGCACCGCUUUUUGCGGCUGGCCUUUGCACAGGAGGGACUGAGUGGCGGGCUGCAUGCGGCUAACCGCUUGGUCUGCGCCGUUGUGAUGGACACCUUUGCCACCCAGCUUCAAUCCCUCCAGCAUUCAUUUUUCACGGGCGGCGGGCUCGGUAGGCUCGUCGAGAUGGAGGUGCGGCCGGGCACGCUAAUCAGCUUUCACCUCUCCUUGCCAGAGCUCUUUGUGCCGUCAGCGCCUGUGGCGCAUGUAAAGAUGACUGUGGCAGGCGGCACCGUGAUGCUGGAGUGUGUGCGGGGCACUGACCUCUCCACGAGACGGGUGAAGCUGCCUCUCGGGACUUCGUCCCUGGUCGCCUCAGCCACGGUGGGCGUAAAUACGGCAACUCGGAGGUCUUCGAUGACCGUGGUGGAUAUGGAGGCCUUAUUGUGGCAGUGCGUGUGUGCCUCUGCUUCCUCCUAAGCGGUUGCGGCACCUCCGUGCGUUAUGCUGGAUAGGAAGGUAGGCCUAGAGAGGGAUAGCAGAAUGGUGGGUUUCGCAAUGUGCGUCGCUGGAGAAACCCAACGUGCGUGCGCGCACGCAUGCGCAAAAAAAAAG
rnacentral:misc_RNA from 1 species